ACACUCAUAAUCCGAGACUCUCUUCUUGUUUACGACUAUCCAACGCGAAAAAAAUGAAGCAUGAGAUUCGGUGUUUUGUCUUAUUGUCCUUUAUGCUUCUGAUGUCAUCCAACCUUGUUCAUACUCAACUGCCCACGGAAGGACCUUCACAAUCAAGGCUAGGCAACACCCCACCGUGGCCAGGAAAGAAGAAACGGGACGUUGGAAAAUUUGAUAGAAUUGGAAUUACAGAUGACGAAUUAUUCUUUGACGAUAACUGACAAAUUAAUAACUGAAUGAUGAUUUCUGCUACCACGUUCUGUGACAUCAUGAACGUUCUUCAUUUUUUGUAAUUUGUUAACGGAGUGAUAAAAGUUAUGAAAAAUUUUCAUUGUGUAAAUAUUUAUUCAUAAAAAUUUGAGUCUUGUUAGAUGGAAUAAAUUGACUGAGUUUUGUGAGA